rnacentral:rRNA from 1 species
AAUGAUGAGGAGCUUGCUCCUCUGAUUUAGCGGCGGACGGGUGAGUAACACGUGGGUAAUCUGCCUGUAAGACGGGGAUAACUCCGGGAAACCGGGGCUAAUACCGGAUAAUAAGAGAAGAAGCAUUUCUUCUUUUUGAAAGUCGGUUUCGGCUGACACUUACAGAUGAGCCCGCGGCGCAUUAGCUAGUUGGUGAGGUAACGGCUCACCAAGGCGACGAUGCGUAGCCGACCUGAGAGGGUGAUCGGCCACACUGGGACUGAGACACGGCCCAGACUCCUACGGGAGGCAGCAGUAGGGAAUCUUCGGCAAUGGGCGAAAGCCUGACCGAGCAACGCCGCGUGAGCGAUGAAGGCCUUCGGGUCGUAAAGCUCUGUUGUUAGAGAAGAACAAGUACGAGAGUAACUGCUCGUACCUUGACGGUACCUAACCAGAAAGCCACGGCUAACUACGUGCCAGCAGCCGCGGUAAUACGUAGGUGGCAAGCGUUAUCCGGAAUUAUUGGGCGUAAAGCGCGCGCAGGCGGUCUCUUAAGUCUGAUGUGAAAGCCCACGGCUCAACCGUGGAGGGUCAUUGGAAACUGGGAGACUUGAGUGCAGGAGAGAAAAGUGGAAUUCCACGUGUAGCGGUGAAAUGCGUA